rnacentral:rRNA from 1 species
UAAGGAAUAUUGGUCAAUGGACGCAAGUCUGAACCAGCCAUGCCGCGUGAAGGAUGAAGGCCCUCUGGGUUGUAAACUUCUUUUAUAUGGGACGAAAAAAGUUUUUUCUAAAACAACUGACGGUACCAUGUGAAUAAGCACCGGCUAACUCCGUGCCAGCAGCCGCGGUAAUACGGAGGGUGCAAGCGUUAUCCGGAUUCACUGGGUUUAAAGGGAGCGUAGGUGGGCUGGUAAGUCAGUGGUGAAAUCCCCGAGCUUAACUCGGGAACUGCCAUUGAUACUAUUAGUCUUGAAUACUGUGGAGGUUAGCGGAAUAUGUCAUGUAGCGGUGAAAUGCUUAGAUAUGACAUAGAACACCAAUUGCGAAGGCAGCUGGCUACACAAUUAUUGACACUGAGGCUCGAAAGCGUGGGGAUCAAACAG